GGUGUUGUGGCUUAGUGGAUAAAGCAGCUGCCUGCAAUGCCAGCAUCCUCAUUGGGCACUGGUUCUAGUCCUGGCUGCUCCA
rnacentral:tRNA from 1 species